ACGUCUAAGCAGUAAGGCUGAGUAUUAGGCAAAUCCGGUACUCGUUAAGGCUGAGCUGUGAUGGGGAGAAGACAUUGAGUCUUCGAGUCGUUGAUUUCACACUGCCGAGAAAAGCCUCUAGAUAGAAAAUAGGUGCCCGUACCGCAAACCGACACAGGUAGUCAAGAUGAGAAUUCUAAGGUGAGCGAGCGAACUCUCGUUAAGGAACUCGGCAAAAUGACCCCGUAACUUCGGGAGAAGGGGUGCUCUUUAGGGUUAACGCCCAGAAGAGCCGCAGUGAAUAGGCCCAAGCGACUGUUUAUCAAAAACACAGGUCUCUGCUAAACCGUAAGGUGAUGUAUAGGGGCUGACGCCUGCCCGGUGCUGGAAGGUUAAGAGGAGUGGUUAGCUUCUGCGAAGCUACGAAUCGAAGCCCCAGUAAACGGCGGCCGUAACUAUAACGGUCCUAAGGUAGCGAAAUUCCUUGUCGGGUAAGUUCCGACCCGCACGAAAGGCGUAACGAUUUGGGCACUGUCUCAACGAGAGACUCGGUGAAAUCAUAGUACCUGUGAAGAUGCAGGUUACCCGCGACAGGACGGAAAGACCCCGUGGAGCUUUACUGUAGCCUGAUAUUGAAAUUCGGCACAGCUUGUACAGGAUAGGUAGGAGCCUUUGAAACGUGAGCGCUAGCUUACGUGGAGGCGCUGGUGGGAUACUACCCUAGCUGUGUUGGCUUUCUAACCCGCACCACUUAUCGUGGUGGGAGACAGUGUCA
rnacentral:rRNA from 1 species